UACGAAGGGUGCAAGCGUUAAUCGGAAUUACUGGGCGUAAAGGGUGCGUAGGCGGUUGGUUAAGUCUGGCGUGAAAUCCCCGGGCUCAACCUGGGAAUGGCGAUGGAUACUGGGCAGCUAGAGUGUGUCAGAGGAUGGUGGAAUUCCCGGUGUAGCGGUGAAAUGCGUAGAGAUCGGGAGGAACACCAGUGGCGAAGGCGGCCUUCUGGACCAAUACUGACGCUCAUGCACGAAAGCGUGGGGAGCAAACAGG
rnacentral:rRNA from 1 species